CCUACGGGAGACAGCAGUGGGGAAUAUUGCACAAUGGGGGGAACCCUGAUGCAGCGACGCCGCGUGGGUGAAGGAGUAUUUCGGUAUGUAAAGCCCUAUCAGCAGGGAAGAACAAUGACGGUACCUGACUAAGAAGCACCGGCUAAAUACGUGCCAGCAGCCGCGGUAAUACGUAUGGUGCAAGCGUUAUCCGGAUUUACUGGGUGUAAAGGGAGCGCAGGCGGCGCGUUAAGCCUGGUGUGAAAGCCCGCGGCCCAACCGCGGGACUGCAUUGGGAACUGGCGCGCUGGAGUGCCGGAGGGGUAGGCGGAAUGCCGAGUGUAGCGGUGAAAUGCGUAGAUAUGUGGAAGAACACCGAUGGCGAAGGCAGCCUCCUGGGACAUAACUGACGCUCAGGCACGAAAGCGUGGGGAGCAAACAGGAUUAGAUACCCGAGUAGUC
rnacentral:rRNA from 1 species